CCUACGGGAGGCAGCAGUGGGGAAUAUUGGACAAUGGGGGGAACCCUGAUCCAGCCAUGCCGCGUGUGUGAAGAAGGCCCUCGGGUUGUAAAGCACUUUCAGUGAGGAAGAACGCCUGGUGGUUAAUACCCAUCAGGAAAGACAUCACUCACAGAAGAAGCACCGGCUAACUCCGUGCCAGCAGCCGCGGUAAUACGGAGGGUGCGAGCGUUAAUCGGAAUUACUGGGCGUAAAGCGCGCGUAGGUGGCUUGAUAAGCCGGUUGUGAAAGCCCCGGGCUCAACCUGGGAACGGCAUCCGGAACUGUCAAGCUAGAGUGCAGGAGAGGAAGGUAGAAUUCCCGGUGUAGCGGUGAAAUGCGUAGAGAUCGGGAGGAAUACCAGUGGCGAAGGCGGCCUUCUGGACUGAUACUGACACUGAGGUGCGAAAGCGUGGGUAGCAAACAGGAUUAGAUACCCUGGUAGUC
rnacentral:rRNA from 1 species